rnacentral:rRNA from 1 species
CCUACGGGAGGCAGCAGUGGGGAAUAUUGCACAAUGGGCGAAAGCCUGAUGCAGCAACGCCGCGUGAAGGAAGAAGGGUUUCGGCUCGUAAACUUCUAUCAACAGGGACGCAAGAAAUGACGGUACCUGAAUAAGCAGCACCGGCUAACUACGUGCCAGCCGCCGCGGUACUACGUAGGGGGCAAGCGUUAUCCGGAGUUACUGGGUGUAAAGGGUGAGUAGGCGGCAUGGUAAGCCAGAUGUGAAAGCCUUGGGCUUAACCCGAGGAUUGCAUUUGGAACUAUCAAGCUAGAGUACAGGAGAGGAAAGCGGAAGUCCUAGUGUAGCGGUGAAAUGCGUAGAGAGUAGGAAGAACACCAGUGGCGAAGGCGGCUUUCGGGACUGAAACUGACGCUGAGGCACGAAAGCGUGGGGAGCGAACAGGAUUAGAUACCCGAGUAGGC